UAUGAAAUUGCAGCGAAUCUUAUUAAUUCGAUAAAUUUAAAAAGGUAGAACCCUAGAUAGCUUAUACAUUUAGAUGGGUACCUUUUAAUUUGUUGGGUUGAUAGACUUGUUGAUUGUUUUGAAAUUGAAACGAUUUUUUUCCUUCAAAAUAUUAUAAGGUACUGGCAUUUAAAAAAACGUCACACUAAAGCAAAGGCAACAGAAAUGCGACGAAAUUGAAUAACCACUGGUGGAGGGUUAACAUGUUGAUUCCACUUUACAAUUUGGAAGAGAGGAUUGAUGCCAUAGUAGGCUAUAACAUUUAAAGUUUGGGAUACUGCUGGCUAAAAAAAGUAUAGAGCUCUAGAAGAUAGUUACUAUGUUGAAGGUUGAUAAGUUAUCAUAAUAUUUGUGUGACCUCUCAUGUUACUUACAAAAAUGUAUGAAACUGGCACAGGGACUUGGAACAUGAAUAUGAAGGCAUUUGAAUUGUACUAUGUGGCCACAAAGUAAACAGAAAAGGCCAGCAAAUUCAAUUGUGUUCCACAGGAAAAAGAAUCUUCAGGUCUACUACAGACUCGACAGUUUGGAAUGUUUUCGAGAUGAGAAGAACUGACAAAAACUCAGCUU